rnacentral:lncRNA from 1 species
ACUCUGUCCCCAAGUGCCCAGAGUCCCCACUGAAAGGAUUCCACAGAGCUGCCUCUAUUAGUGUACCGUAAAUCUUUUUAAAUUCUGGAACUAAUUAUAUAGAGGAUAUGUCUCAAUUUGUUCUGCAUUAAUGCCGCGGUGGGGAUGGAGGCCAGGCCGUGGCUGUUCGGAUACGUGGGCCCGUGAAAUUGAUGAACUGAGAGCUGCUUCCAGUCCUGUGCACACCAUCUGGAAUUCCAGUCUGAGGUUACGAUUAGAACUUCUGACCCCAGAUUCAACUUUGAAACAAG